CACAGUAUUCAGCACGGUUCCUUGAAUCUCGGUUCCUUGAAGACGUUGCGUUAAUACGGUUAAUACUCUUUUCUUGCUUAGCAGCACAGUGCUAGCGCGCUUUAGCCAGAAGUGCGGUCAUCAGUAUCAAUCGCGAAUGGCAGUGGUCGUCAGUGCUGUGAUUCAGUGCCCGAAAUUCAGCCACGGCAAUACACGAGACCGCUUUUUCAGAGGGCGAGCGUGGCGACUACAAGCAGCCCAAUGCACACGAUAAGACAUGCCUUCAUAGCGGAGCCGUCUUUCGAUACUGCGUGCGUCAAUAUAUACUAACAGGAGAAUGUCGGCGGCACCCGACUAAACACGCCUAAGUGCCCGCAAGAGCUCAGCGUGAAGCACUGAUAUACUGCUCUAAAAGCGAGAGUUGGAGAACCAUAGCUUUUAAUAUCUCAUGAAAUUCCGCUCGCCGGCUACUCAGAAGAACGAUCGCCCAUGGC